rnacentral:rRNA from 1 species
CCUACGGGGGGCAGCAGUGGGGGAUAUUGCACAAUGGGGGAAACCCUGAUGCAGCGACGCCGCGUGGGUGAAGAAGCGCCUCGGCGCGUAAAGCCCUGUCAGCAGGGAAGAAAAUGACGGUACCUGAAGAAGAAGCCCCGGCUAACUAUGUGCCAGCAGCCGCGGUAAUACGUAGGGGGCAAGCGUUAUCCGGAUUUACUGGGUGUAAAGGGGGCGCAGACGGCGAUGCAAGCCAGGAGUGAAAGCCCGGGGCCCAACCCCGGGACUGCUCUUGGAACUGCGUGGCUAGAGUGAAGGAGGGGCAG